rnacentral:lncRNA from 1 species
CGGCUCACUCCAGGGUUCACUCUGCUCUCAAUUGUGUUGUGCACUCAACCCAAAAGAGAUGAAGCUCUCAAACUCAAACUCAGAAAUUUAGAAGAAGAAGAAAAUAGAAGAGAGAUCUUUUCUACUUGAUACCUCAAUCGAGUCUCUCCCAAAACUCCUUUUAAAGACCAAAAAAACGAAUCUAAUCAAGUUAGAUUUUUGUGCCAUGGGAAUCGCUCAUUCCCAGCCACCGCGUGGCCAACGAAGUGAAACAGGUGAGAAAAUUCAGCCACGUUCUUUGACUUAAUCUUUUAGGGUGAAGGAGAUUUGACAUAACAACAAUACCAACGUGGGUCUUAAGAGCCCAUUUCAAAAUUCAUAAAGCCCAAUUGAAGAAACAGACCCAACAAUCCCCCACAUGUUUCAAAAUUGAAAGAGACGUUGAUGUCUUGUUAAGACUUGAAUCAACAAAGAAAAUAGUUUGAGAGCUUCGCAUAUCAAAUACAAAGUAUUAUAAGCAUAUUACAUAACCCUGCAUCAUAAGUGUUCUAGUGAGUUAGCCCACAACUCAUCUAGUUAGGCAACCUUUGCCUUAACACUUACUUAGGUGACUUAUCAAGUGUGUGUUGUCUCACACCCCCAUACAGGAAUAAGUUCAUUAAGAGACCAUAUGUCUCAACCUUCCAAACGACAACAACAUGGGAGCUUCACUAUCAUCAGAUUAAUAUCAUUCCUUCGUUUGACCAAUUUGAACCAAUAAUUCAGAAGUGAAUAGAAUUUUGGUUUGGUAUCCAGAAUGAUCUAACCUGAAAAAGGCUUUAGUCCCAUUUCCUUUGCUGUGUCCAGGACCAUUCGUCCACACAAGCCUUUCGUGAGAGGAUCAGCUAUAUUCUUCCCUGAUCUCACGAAUUCUAGUGAUAACACUCCAGCUUCAAUCAAGCUUCUUAUCACUUUAUGUCGCAUACGUAUAUGCCUUUUCUUCCCGUUAUACAGCGCGUUCAUCGCCACAGCAAUCGCAGCUUGAGAGUCACAUCUCAUAGACACGGAAGGACAAGGUCUUCCCAUCAUCGGAAAAUCCGCUAGCAGGUUUCUUAACCACUCAGCUUCUUGUCCUGCCAAUUCAAGAGCAAUUAGUUCAGAUUCCAUAGUGGAACGAGCAAUACAAGUCUGUUUAGUAGAUUUCCAUGCUAUAGCUCCACCAGCCAAAGUAAAUACAAAGCCACUGGUGGAAUUCACUUCAUCAUUAUCUGAACUCCAAUUAGCAUCACAAUAAGCUUCAAGAACACAAGAAGUACCAGAAUAACACAAGUUCCAAUCAAUAGUUCCCUUUAGAUAUCGCAUUAAGCGGUUAAGUGCCGACCAGUGAUUAGAACCAGGAUUAUGAGUAUAUCUACUCAACCUACUCACAGCAUAUGCAAUGUCAGGUCUAGUGCAAUUCAUCAAAUACAUUACGCUGCCUAUCACCUUAGCAUAUUCAGGUUGAUUCACACUUUCUCCUCUAUUUUGACACAAAUGCAAAGAUGAAUCAUAAGGAGACUUAGCACUAGGUUCAACCCAAUAUCCAAAUUUCUUUAGAAUUUUUUCAAUAUAAUGAGACUGGUUCAAAGAAAAUCCAGAGUCAGUUUUAACGACUUUAAUUCCAAGAAUGACAUCAGCUUCUCCUAAAUCUUUCAUGUCAAAUUUAGAACUCAAGAAAACCUUUGUGUCACAAACAAUUUCGAGAGAUGUGCCAAGAAUAAGCAUGUCAUCUACGUAUAAACAUAUAAUGACGUAUCCAUGUUCAUGCACUUUAGAGAACACACACGUAUCACCUUCAUUUGAAACAAAGCCAUUUUCAAGCAACGUGUUACUAAAUUUUUCAAACCAUUGCUUAGGAGCUUGCUUAAGACCAUAAAGAGACUUAAUCAAUUUGCAAACUUUAUUCUCUUGACCUUCUAUAAUAAAUCCCUCAGGUUGCAUCAUAUAAAUUUCUUCAUGCAAAUCACCAUUUAAAAAUGCUGUUUUCACAUCCAUUUGAUGCACAACUAAUUUAUGAGCAGAUGCAACAGCAAGCAACAUGCGAAUGGAAGAAAUUUUAGUAACAGGAGCAUAAGUAUCAAAAUAGUCUACUCCCUGUUUUUGCGCAAACCCUUGAGCCACCAGCCUCGCCUUGAACUUGUCAAUAGAACCAUCAGCCUUGAAUUUUUUCUUUAAAAUCCAUUUGCAUCUGAUAGCUUUGCAUCCCCUAGGCAAAUCAACAAUCUCCCAAGUAUGGUUAGUCAUGAUAGAAUCAAACUCAUUAUUAACUGCUUCUUUCCAAAAAACAGCAUCUACAGAUUUCAUAGCUUCUGAAAACGUUUUUGGAUCUUCUUCUAUCAAGAAUGCAAACACAAAUUCUUCACUAAUCUCAUCAUAUUCAGCUAGAAAGGUAGUAAUAAAAUCUGGACCAAAAUCAGUUUCAGUUCUCAUUCUUUUACUCCUUCUAGGUUCUUCAGCAUCAUCAUGAAUUCUUUUAGCAUUACUUGAAGAAGCAAAAUCUAUAUUAGCUGAAUCAUGGGAAGAGGCGAAGUCUAAGUUUCUCUUAAAAGGAAACACAUUCUCAAAAAAUUCAACAUCUCUAGACUCAAUCAUGCUAUCAAAUUGCAAGGAAUCAUGCUUAAAUGUUAAACAACGGUAAGCAGCACUGUUCAAAGCAUAACCAACAAACACAGCAUCAACAGUCUUAGGACCUAUGGUGGUUCUUUUAAAGGCUGGCAGUCCUACUUUAACAAGACACCCCCACACUUUCAAAUAACUCAAAUUAGGAGAAUGACCUUUCCAAAGUUCAUAAGGUGUAACAGAGAUUCCUUUAUGAGGUACUUUAUUCAGAAUAUAACAUGCAGAAAGAAUAGCUUCCCCCCACAUUUGAUCAGGCAACCCAGAACUAAUAAGCAUAGCAUUCAUCAUUUCUUUAAGGGUUCGAUUUUUCCUUUCAGCAAUGCCAUUUUGCUGGGGAAAAUAAGGUGCAGUUCUUUCAUGAAUAAUACCCUCUUUCAAACACAAAGAAUUCAGAAUUUCAGAUUCAUAUUCUCCACCUCUAUCAGACCUUAACCUCUUAAUUUUUCUAUCUAGUUGAUUUUCUACUUCAGCUUUAUAUCGCAUAAACAUUUCACAAGCCUCAUCUUUUGUUCUUAACAAAUAAACCCUUGUAUAUCUAGAACAAUCAUCAACAAAAGUGAUAUAAUAAUGCUUGCCACCUCUACUAGUGGUGUUUUUAAAAUCAGCCAAAUCUGAGUGAAUGAGCUCAAGCAAUUCAGAUUUUCGAUUAACAGGAUAAGAAAACGGUUUUCUAGCAUGCUUUGCUUCCACACAAAUUUCACAUUUUGAGAUAUCUUUUUCCAAGUUAUCAGGAAUCAGAUUAGCAUGCUUUAAGCGUCUAAUAGAGUUCACAUUUAAGUGUCCUAAUCUGCCAUGCCAUGUAUCCAAAACACUCACAAAGUAAGCAGAAGCACCAGCACUUUCAUUCAUUAUUUCAAGAACAAAGAGAUUUCCCUUACAAAAAGCUUUUCCCACAUACCCCCCAUUCUUAGUUAUCACUAACUUACCAGCCUCAAGAGUUUGCUUAAACCCAGCAAUCAUCAACAAAGCACUAGAAAUUAAAUUCCUACGCAUGUUUGGAACAAACAAAACCUUAGUCAAAGUUAAAACUCUUCCAGAUGAUAAUUUCAAAUUAACUUCUCCAAUUCCAGCAACUUGUAAAGCACUAGCAUCACCCAAGAAGACAUUAUCACGUGGAGAUUCAUCAAGAGUUUUAAAGAGAGACUUCUGGCUGCAAAUGUGACGUGUGGCACCUGAAUCAAUGAUCCAUUCCACCACGUCAAUUGCAGCGUUUACCUCAGUGACGACAGCAAUUAGGUCUUCAGUAAGAUGAGCUUUGUUUGACUCCUUUUGCUGUGGAGGUAAGCGACAAUCCUGCUUCUUAUGUCCAGGCUUGUUACAAUUCCAGCACUUCAGUUUCUUCUUGAAUUCAACAGAUGGUGUAAUAGGAUUAGACUUUUGAGGAGUCUUUCCUUGGUUUUUGUUGGAUUUGAACCUGUUCUUUACACCACCAGAACUUUCCACAACGUUAGCAUCAUUAGGAAUUGAACGAGACACUGUUUUAUUACCUAAGUAGUUUCUGUUUGCGUCUUCGAUCAUUAUGUCUGCAAUCAGCUCAUCAAGCGACAUCUUCUUUUUCUCAUGCUUCAGCUUGGAGCGAUAGCCAUUCCAUGACGGAGACAGUUUGUCAACGAGUACCAAAGCAGCCAGUUGCUCAUCGAUUGGUAUACCCUCGGCCUGAAUCUUGGAGACAAUGGCUUCAUACUCAUGGAGUUGAUCGAGAACGGGUUGAUCGUCCUUCAUCUGAAAUGAGGUCCAUUUUGAAGUGACGUACUGCUUCUUGCCUUCAUCUUCGGCUCCGUACCUUUUCUUCAAGUUGUUCCAUAUCUCCUUUGCAGAUUCAUAGUUGACAUAGAUAUCAAACAGCUUCUCCGAGAGGUGCCUGAUGAUAUGACCACGACAUGUGCGGUUGUGAUCUUCAAAGCUUCCUUCCGGUUUUGGCUUGCUUGAUUGUGUCAAAACAUCUUGAGAAUUCCCGGAGGUAGGCGUUUCAGAGGAGGAAGUGGGCUUGUCUUCAACAAGGACGUAGCUUAAGCCAACCUCUUGAAAGAAGAACAUGAGUUCCUCCGACCAGCGACGGUAAUUUGAGCCAAUCAAAGGCUGGAGCUUUGACAAAUCGGGCACUGCAGAGUUCUUCGGCAUUCUGAAUCGUAAUGGAACCAACAAAUAAUUUUUUCGCUCAAGAUUGUUGGAAAUAAAGCUUAGAACCAAAAUUGACAAAGAACGAAAGUCGCAGAGCCGUAGAGAAUCUACUGCACUUGAGCGAAAAACCGCCUAAUCCCGGUGUGCAAGAUAACCAAGACGGCUCACUCCAGGGUUCACUCUGCUCUCAAUUGUGUUGUGCACUCAACCCAAAAGAGAUGAAGCUCUCAAACUCAAACUCAGAAAUUUAGAAGAAGAAGAAAAUAGAAGAGAGAUCUUUUCUACUUGAUACCUCAAUCGAGUCUCUCCCAAAACUCCUUUUAAAGACCAAAAAAACGAAUCUAAUCAAGUUAGAUUUUUGUGCCAUGGGAAUCGCUCAUUCCCAGCCACCGCGUGGCCAACGAAG